AGUGAACGCUGGCGGUAGGCCUAGCACAUGCAAGUCGAACGGCAGCACAGUAAGAGCUUGCUCUUACGGGUGGCGAGUGGCGGACGGGUGAGGAAUACAUCGGAAUCUACUUUUUCGUGGGGGAUAACGUAGGGAAACUUACGCUAAUACCGCAUACGACCUACGGGUGAAAGCAGGGGAUCUUCGGACCUUGCGCGAUUGAAUGAGCCGAUGUCGGAUUAGCUAGUUGGCGGGGUAAAGGCCCACCAAGGCGACGAUCCGUAGCUGGUCUGAGAGGAUGAUCCGCCAAAAUGGAACUGAGGCACGGUCCAGACUCCUAAGGGAGGCAGGAGUGGGGAAUAAUGGGAAAUGGGGGGAAGCCUGAACCAGCCAAAACGCGGGGGUGAAAGAGGGCUUCCGGUUGUAAAAGCCUUUUGUUGGGGAAGAAAAGGAGGAGGGUAAAAACCCGGUGGUCUGAAGGUAACCAAAAAAUAAAGCACGGCUAAAUUCGUG
rnacentral:rRNA from 1 species